rnacentral:rRNA from 1 species
GAUGAACGCUGGCGGCGUGCUUAACACAUGCAAGUCGAACGAUGAAGCCCAGCUUGCUGGGUGGAUUAGUGGCGAACGGGUGAGUAACACGUGGGUAACCUGCCCUUGACUCUGGGAUAAGCCUGGGAAACUGGGUCUAAUACUGGAUAUGACUUCUCAUCGCAUGGUGGGGGGUGGAAAGAUUUAUUGGUCUUGGAUGGACUCGCGGCCUAUCAGCUUGUUGGUGAGGUAAUGGCUCACCAAGGCGACGACGGGUAGCCGGCCUGAGAGGGUGACCGGCCACACUGGGACUGAGACACGGCCCAGACUCCUACGGGAGGCAGCAGUGGGGAAUAUUGCACAAUGGGCGCAAGCCUGAUGCAGCGACGCCGCGUGAGGGAUGACGGCCUUCGGGUUGUAAACCUCUUUCAGUAGGGAAGAAGCGAGAGUGACGGCACCUGCAGAAGAAGCGCCGGCUAACUACGUG